rnacentral:lncRNA from 1 species
CUUCAGUAGUUCAAACUCCUCUGGAGAGCUCACCAUCAUGUCUUCAUUUCUCUUUCUCCUUGCUCUUUUUAUUUACUGCUCAGGUAACGCUUUGGAGAAAAUCUCAUUUUCCAUUGGCCAACCAAAAGCUAACUGCAUUUAUCGUAUUUACUUAUUUGAGAACACUGAAAAUGUUCCUUUUUCUGAUUUGUUAUUAAACAGGUGUCACCUGCCAGUCAAUUUGCACUCAGCCUGCCUCCGAAUCUGUGGCACCAGGUCAAACCAUUAAACUCUCCUGUACAACUAGUGAUACUAUUUCCUACGUUCGCUGGUAUCAACAGAGAUCAGGGCAGGCCCCUCGAUUUGUGCAGUAUGAGGGUAGCAGCAGGGGAGAAGGGAUCCCGGAUCGGUUCACUGCUUCCCGCUCUGGGAACAAUGGCUAUUUAACCAUCACCAAUGUCCAGGCUGAAGACGAGGCCGUUUAUCACUGUGGCAGGUGGUAUGGUAACACGUUC